rnacentral:rRNA from 1 species
GGCGAACGGGUGAGGAACACCUGAAGAAUCUGCCUUCCCUCUGGGAUAACUCCGGGAAACCGGGGCUACUACCGGAUAUGACCCUUGAUCGCAUGAUCGGGGCUGGAAAGUUUUUCCGUUGAAGAUGACUUCGCGCCCUAUCCCUAGUUGGUGAGGUAAUGGCUCACCAAGGCGACGACGGGUAGCCGGCCUGACAGGGCGACCGGCCCCACUGCGACUGAAACACGGCCCAGACUCCUACCCGAGGCAGCAGUGGGGAAUAUUGGGCAAUGGAGGAAACUCUGACCCAGCGACGCCGCGUGAGGGAUGAAGGCCUUCGGGUUGUAAACCUCUUUCUCUUUGGAAGAAGCGAAAGUGACGGUACCUACACAUGAAGCACCGGCUCCCUAUGUGCCCCCCCCCGCGGCCACACAUAUGCUGCAAGCGUUGUCCGGAAUUAUUGGGCGUAAACAGCUCGUACGCGGUUCCAUACGUCCGAU